rnacentral:misc_RNA from 1 species
UCCGGUUUAACACCGGCAGUCCCAGUAGAGUUCCCGGCAUAACCCGCUGGCAACUACUGGUAAGGGUUGCGCUCGUUGCGGGACUUAACCCAACACCUCACGGCACGAGCUGACGACAGCCAUGCAGCAUCUGCGCACGCUCCCUUGCGGGUCCUUCCCCUUUCGAGGUCGUACCACGUGCAUGUCAAGCCCAGGUAAGGUUCUUCGCGUUGCGUCGAAUUAAACCACAUGCUCCGCUGCUUGUGCGGGCCCCCGUCAAUUCCUUUGGGUUUUAGCCUUGCGGCCGUACUCCCCAGGCGGGGCACUUAAUGCGUUAGCGGCGGCACGGGAGGAGUCGACACCUCCCACACCUAGUGCCCAUCGUUUACGGCGUGGACUAC